rnacentral:rRNA from 1 species
GAUGAACGCUGGCGGCGCGCCUAACACAUGCAAGUCGAACGAUUAAAGCACCUUCGGGUGUGUAUAAAGUGGCGAACGGCUGAGUAACACGUGGGCAACCUGCCCCUUUCAUUGGGAUAGCCACGGGAAACCGUGGAUAAUACCGAAUACUUCGAGACUUCCGCAUGGAAGACUCGAGAAAGCUCCGGCGGAGAGGGAUGGGCCCGCGGCCUGUUAGCUUGUUGGUGGGGUAACGGCCUACCAAGGCAAUGAUGGGUAGCUGGGUUGAGAGACCGACCAGCCGGAUUGGGACUGAGACACGGCCCAGACUCCUACGGGAGGCAGCAGUGGGGAAUCUUGCACAAUGGGCGAAAGCCUGAUGCAGCGACGCCGCGUGCGGGAUGAAGGCCUUCGGGUUGUAAACCGCUUUCAGCAGGGACGAGGCGAAAGUGACGGUACCUGCAGAAGAAGCCCCGGCUAACUACGUG